rnacentral:tRNA from 1 species
GGAGGAUACAGCUCAAGUGGUAGAGCGCAGGCUUGGCAUGCACAAGGUCCUGGGUUCAAUCCCCAGUACCUCCA